AAAUGGAUCAGGUUUAUUCGAAGCUUGCUUAUGGCACCAAGGAGUUUUCCGGAUGAAAUUCUUCAUUUUUAAAGAGAGGAUGGAUUGUCUGAUUACUUAGUAUCGUAUUAAUUAAUGGGUUUGAUUACUUAGUAUCGUAUUAGUUGAGCCUAAUAGCUUAUUGCCCCAGGAAAAAGGGGUAGAGAAUCUGCACAUUUUAGUGGUGUAUCUGUUGUGCCAAGUUACAAUGCAUAAUGCAGAUGUGACCCUUUAAUGAGGAAGGAUAUGGUAAAUUUUGAAUAUUAUAUUAGUGUUUACUCUUGUAACUGCUUUGAUUAAGCUAUGGCUGGAGUUCCAGUUUCUAGACUCAACUGGUCAAGUAUCAACUGUUUUUGUACUAAAUUCGCAUUUUGCGUCAUACUCGUUCGUUUUCCUGCUUCCACUUUCAUUUUAAUACAGUUUUCUCGAUAUAGUUCCCAGUCGUGCUUUGUAUCUAAGAAUUCUUUUUUGGGUCUUUCAAUGAUUGUAUCAAUGAUGCUUUGGAUGCAAAGGAAUCAUAUUCUGCUUUGAAGGAUGCAGCUUCGCCUAGUAGAAAAACGGCUGGGUGCUCAGGUGGCUGGACAUUAUCUGCCAAUGAAGCUGUUGCUAUAGAUCACGAAGAAGAUCGGAGUGGUAAGAGUUUUCAGGAGCAACGAAAAGCACACUAUGAUGAGUAUUUCAAGAUAAGGAACUGAGACGUAAAUGUUCGUUCCUUGAGGAAGAAGAUGAUGGUGUGGAGGGUGAUUCAUCUUCAUCUAAGAUGUCGGCAAAGCACAAUUCGCCCUGAAUAUCUUCUGCAGGGCCAGCUAAUGGAUGGAAGAAGUCUACCGACCGGUCCGAGGCCUAAACCCGACACUUUUGACACCCAUUGUGGUAUUAUAGAAGCGAAACUAAAAGAAAAGAAAAAUCUGGAUUUUUUUUCAUGUUUGAGUUUACUUGUGCAUAAUUUCGCCCAACUUGGCAUGUUAUUGAGAAGUGUAGCGGCCCCCAACUUUUGUUCUUUGG